rnacentral:sRNA from 1 species
UUGAAAAUAUAUCCGCCGGCUCAGGCUUAGCUAUGACUAUGCCAUUGCCAGCUAUGCCUAUGGACUGGUAGUUCUAGAUCUAGUCAUUCUAGUAUGGUUCAGAUCCUAAUAUUUACAUCUAGCUAUGUCUCAGAAAAGUUAUUCUUUGGUAACAGAGGUUUGUGGCUGGAGUAAAGAAACCUGCUUGAAAAAUGUAGAAACAACUCUUCCAUCAGCUCUUACUAUUUUGGAGGAUUCCUUAUAUAAGCCUACAGCUGAUAACAUAGGUUAGUGAAUGU